UCGAGAAUCAUUCACAAUGGGCGAAAGCCUGAUGGUGUGACGCGGCGUGGAGGAUGAAGGUCUUCGGAUUGUAAACUCCUGUCAUGUGAGAGUAAGUCUCAGGGAGUAACUGCCCGUGGAAUUGAGAGUAUCACAAGAGGAAGAGGCGGCUAACUCUGUGCCAGCAGCCGCGGUAAUACAGAGGCCUCAAGCGUUGUUCGGAAUCACUGGGCGUAAAGGGUGCGUAGGCGGCGCGGAAAGUCAGGUGUGAAAUCCCGGAGCUCAACUCCGGAACUGCCUUUGAUACUCCCGCGAUUGAGAACUGGAGGGGAGAGCGGAAUUCACGGUGGAGCAGUGAAAUGCGUGGAUAUCGUGAGGAACACUAGUGGCGAAGGCGGAUCUCUGGACAGUAUCUGACGCUGAGGCACGAAGGGCAGGGGAGCGAACGGG
rnacentral:rRNA from 1 species